rnacentral:rRNA from 1 species
CAGCAGCCGCGGUAAUACGUAGGGGGCGAGCGUUGUCCGGAAUCAUUGGGCGUAAAGAGCGUGUAGGCGGCCCGGUAAGUCUGCUGUGAAAACCCGGGGCUCAACCCCGGGCGUGCAGUGGAAACUGCCGGGCUAGAGGGCGGCAGAGGCGAGUGGAAUUCCCGGUGUAGCGGUGAAAUGCGCAGAUAUCGGGAGGAACACCAGUAGCGAAGGCGGCUCGCUGGGCCGUUCCUGACGCUGAGACGCGAAAGCUAGGGGAGCGAACAGGAUUAGAUACCCGGGUAGUCCCUGUCUCUUAUAC